rnacentral:RNase_P_RNA from 2 species
CAAGUAGGGAGACCGCCACUGAUUGGCAUAAGUUGAUUAGAGGAACUUCCCGACUCUCAGCCAAAGCGAUUUGGCAAGGUUGCCUCAUGAAACAAUAAAUGAGGGCAUCAUGCUGGUAACAGUAUGGUGACUACAACCGCAACAGAAAGUAUUCCCGCCUAACCUAGUUUUAGGUAAGGGGUGAAAUGGUGGUGUAAGAGACCACCAGCAUUGUAUGGUAACAUCAAUGGCUAGGUGAGCGUGCAACUGAGAGCAAGGUGAGUGGGCUAGGCGGUUUGUUUAGUCUCAUCGCAGUGGGACCGGUGAAGUAAGGUAACACCUUACAAUAUCAGGUCUGACCACCUGAAUUUUUGGGUGAGAUAGAUGGCGGUUAAAACAAAAUCGGGGGUACUUCCUUACCUGUGUU